rnacentral:rRNA from 1 species
UACGUAGGGGGCGAGCGUUGUCCGGAUUUAUUGGGCGUAAAGAGCGUGUAGGCGGCCAGGUAGGUCUGCUGUGAAAACUCGAGGCUUAACCUCGAGCUGUCGGCGGAAACCAUCUGGCUAGAGUCCGGAAGAGGAGAGUGGAAUUCCUGGUGUAGCGGUGAAAUGCGCAGAUAUCAGGAAGAACACCCGUGGCUAAGGCGGCUCUCUAGUACGGUACUGACGCUGAGACGCGAAAGCGUGGGGAGCGAACAGG